rnacentral:snoRNA from 10 species
UUAAAUGAUGAUUUUUUUAAACAGAUGUAUCAGAGUGCAUUCAUUCAAAGGAAUGUUGUCUUCUGGCAAGUAAAAAUCCAUGCAG